rnacentral:rRNA from 1 species
AAUUUUGCGCAAUGGGGGCAACCCUGACGCAGCGACGCCGCGUGGGUGAUGAAGGCUUUCUGGUCGUAAAGCCCUGUCUGGGGGGAAGAUAGUGACGGUACCCCCGGAGGAAGCCCCGGCGAACUACGUGCCACCAGCCGCGGUAACACGUGGGGGGCGAGCGUUGUCCGGAAUUAUUGGGCGUAAAGAGCGCGUAGGCGGCCUUUCAAGUCAGCUGUGAAAUCCCUCGGCUCAACCGGGGAUGUGCAGUUGAAACUGGAGGGCUUGAGUGCAGAAGAGGAGGGUAGAAUUCCUGGUGUAGCGGUGAAAUGCGUAGAUAUCAGGAGGAAUACCGGUGGCGAAGGCGGCCUUCUGGUCUGUUACUGACGCUGAGGCGCGAAAGCUAGGGGAGCGAAC